UCCCUGAUGGUCCAGUGGUCAGGACUCGGCAUUCUCACUGCCAGAGCCCCGGGUUCAAUCCCUGGUCGGGGAA